rnacentral:lncRNA from 1 species
UACUCAAUGGACUAUAUAUGUGAUCAGAUUCAAGGGAACAACGAUUACAUAGAUUUGUCUGAUCCCAAAGUCUACAAUGGUGGUGUCAUUCCCCUGUCAAGCACAGUUGCAUACAGUAGACUUAUGGGGGGACACAAGAAGUACAUACUUGUUGUAGUACCCCAUAAAUAAACCAAGUUCAUAUAAGGAGGCCAGCAAGUACCCAAACUGGAG